GAUGAACGCUGGCGGCGUGCCUAAUACAUGCAAGUCGAACGAGUUCUGAUUAUUGAAAGGUGCUUGCAUCUUGAUUUAAUUUUGAACGAGUGGCGGACGGGUGAGUAACACGUGGGUAACCUGCCCUUAAGUGGGGGAUAACAUUUGGAAACAGAUGCUAAUACCGCAUAAAUCCGAGAACCGCAUGGUUCUUGGCUGAAAGAUGGCGUAAGCUAUCGCUUUUGGAUGGACCCGCGGCGUAUUAGCUAGUUGGUGAGGUAACGGCUCACCAAGGCAAUGAUACGUAGCCGAACUGAGAGGUUGAUCGGCCACAUUGGGACUGAGACACGGCCCAAACUCCUACGGGAGGCAGCAGUAGGGAAUCUUCCACAAUGGACGCAAGUCUGAUGGAGCAACGCCGCGUGAGUGAAGAAGGCUUUCGGGUCGUAAAACUCUGUUGUUGGAGAAGAAUGGUCGGCAGAGUAACUGU
rnacentral:rRNA from 2 species